GUGACAUUCAAUAUCAGCAGAUGCACCAAAACGUCUAUUAGGUCAGUAUCCUAUCCGAGUUUCCCCACUACACCGGCGCUGUGUCUGGUGGCUUGCCUACGCGCAUAUGAGGAUCGCACCAAGCUACACCAUUCCGCAUCCUCCCCCUAUCUAUUUUUAUCUACCCGUCCGCCGUUUCAACCCAUAACUAGCACCACUUUGUCUCGAUGGGUUAAAUGGC